rnacentral:rRNA from 1 species
CGAACGGGUGAGUAACACGUAGGUCACGUGCCCCCUGGAGAGGGAUAACUCGGGGAAACCCGAGCUAAUACCACAUAUGUCUCCGGAUGAAAGCGGCAACGCGCCAGGGGAGCGGCCUGCGGCCCAUUAUUUAAUCCUUGUUGGUGAGGUAACGGCUCACCAAGACUACGAUAGGUAGGGGGUCUGAGAGGAUGAUCCCCCACACUGGUACUGAGACACGGACCAGACUCCUACGGGAGGCAGCAGUGAGGAAUAUUGGUCAAUGGACGAAAGUCUGAACCAGCCAUGCCGCGUGCAGGAAGACUGCCCUACGGGUUGUAAACUGCUUUUAUGUGGGAAUAAACCCCUGGAUUCUUCCGGGGCUGAAGGUACCACACGAAUAAGGAUCGGCUAACUCCGUGCCAGCAGCCGCGGUAAUACGGAGGAUCCAAGCGUUAUCCGGAUUUAUUGGGUUUAAAGGGUCCGUAGGCGGGACAUUAAGUCAGUGGUGAAAGCCUUCAGCUUAACUGGAGAAUUGCCAUUGAUACUGAUGUUCUUGAGUACACCUGAAGUGGGCGGAAUGUGUCAUGUAGCGGUGAAAUGCAUAGAUAUGACACAGAACACCGAUUGCGAAGGCAGCUCACUAAAGUGUAACUGACGCUGAGGGACGAAAGCGUGGGGAGCGAACAGGAUUAGAUACCCUGGCAGUCCACGCCGUAAACGAUGGUCAC